rnacentral:lncRNA from 1 species
UAAAGCACUUAUCUCGAGGAGGAUUUAGUUUGACAAAGAGCAUGCUCAAAGAAACACGUGAGUAAAAAAACUAAUGAAUCCUAAUAAGAGCGGUGUCCAAAAAUCUCUAAUGUGAACAAUUGAACACAAUGAUGAGGAUGAAAACACGGACUCUGAGCCUAAGCCUCUAGUUUCUCCCUUUUGUUUAUUUUUUCCCACCUUGUGCCUAAGCCC